GAUGAACGCUGGCGGCGUGCCUAAUACAUGCAAGUCGAGCGAACGGACGAGAAGCUUGCUUCUCUGAUGUUAGCGGCGGACGGGUGAGUAACACGUGGAUAACCUACCUAUAAGACUGGGAUAACUUCGGGAAACCGGAGCUAAUACCGGAUAAUAUUUUGAACCGCAUGGUUCAAAAGUGAAAGACGGUCUUGCUGUCACUUAUAGAUGGAUCCGCGCUGCAUUAGCUAGUUGGUAAGGUAACGGCUUACCAAGGCAACGAUGCAUAGCCGACCUGAGAGAGUGAUCGGCCACACGGGAGCUGAAACACGGUCCAGACUCCUACGGGAGGCAGCAGUAGGGAAUCGUCCGCAAUGGGCGAAAGCCUGACGGAGCAACGCCGCGUGAGUGAUGAAGGUCUUCGGAUCGUAAAACUCUGUUAUUGGGGAAGAACAGAUGUGUAAGUAACUGUGCACAUCUUGACGGUACCUAAUCAGAAAGCCACGGCUAACUACGUG
rnacentral:rRNA from 1 species